CUCCCAUGCGCCACAAAUUUUAGGAUGCCAUUCUUCAUCACGCUAAAGAGGUUUUUCCAUGAUAUUUUCUCCAUGAAAAAAUGCCUUCCACCCUCCCUUUCUCACAUCCAAAAUUGGAUAUAAUCUGAUUUUUAUGGUAGGUUCAAAUAUGAUUUGAAUUGGUUAUUAUAUAGGAUAAGGUUUGACCUUAUCUAUAGGCCUUGCCGCCCACUUCCUUUUAUUCCUUUCUUUUGUGUGACAAAUAGAGGAAUAUGUAGCAUGGGAAAUCAGAUAGAAAUCAGUUUUCAUCAUGAAAAAUCAGAUAGGGGGCGUCCCAUAUUUUUUGAGUGGUGGAAUUAUAUGAGGAGGUGACAACAUAUGGAAGAGUCCAAACAUUGUUGGACUCUUCACCCUAACCUCCUUACAUGCCCAAAUAAAAGGAGAUUUUAUUCUCUUUUGUGCGUCUAAGAG
rnacentral:lncRNA from 1 species